UACGUAGGGUGCGAGCGUUGUCCGGAAUUAUUGGGCGUAAAGAGCUUGUAGGCGGUUUGUCGCGUCUGCCGUGAAAAUCCGGGGCUCAACCCCGGACUUGCGGUGGGUACGGGCAGACUAGAGUGUGGUAGGGGAGACUGGAAUUCCUGGUGUAGCGGUGAAAUGCGCAGAUAUCAGGAGGAACACCGAUGGCGAAGGCAGGUCUCUGGGCCACUACUGACGCUGAGAAGCGAAAGCGUGGGAGCGAACAGGA
rnacentral:rRNA from 1 species